UUUGAAAGUAAACUUAGCUUACCUCUCAGAACUCCUCCAUCCAUACACCCCACCCCGAAACCUGCAGUCCUCAGACGCUGGCCUGGUCUCCAUUCCCCACACCAGACUCUGGGCCUUG